CUGACUGUAUUCAUUAAUACAGUGGUGCAAAAUAUCAGUAAGUCUGUCUACUGUGUGUAUAAAUUUCAAUACUGUUGUACUAUUUUAAUGAACAAUGCUGCAGAUAAUACAUGUUUUUGUUGGACUUUUGAUUCUGUGCAUCAGAAUUUCAGGAAUUUCUUGCAGAGUUUAAUUCCACUAAGCAAACUAAGAAAGAGGAAAUGGAUAAACCUUUAAAGUUUUUUAGUAAACACAUUCAAGUUAAAGGUUUCUGAGUGAAAAAAUGGGCCUUAGAGACAUUUAAAGAAACAGGCACUGAUUAUUUCAACUUCUUCAACUUUACAAUGUGUCAGUAGUGAACAAUAUUUUAAUGCCAUGAUAUCAUUUUCAUCUGGUUGGUCAUUUUAAACUAAUAACGCAUUGUGACGUAGAUUUAACACGUUAUUGGAGUGCAGUUGAGUGGGAAGUACAGAAACUUAAAGUUAAAAGUACCCCAUGGUCAAAUGUACUGUAACAAAGUUCAAAUACAUGAAAAGUGUACUUCAGUACAGAAACAAAGUGCUUGUACUUUCCUACAUCCCACAAGAUGGCGCAAAAAUAUAAGAUAUCAGGUGUACAGUACACCUGAUAUCACUGUAUAUAUGUACUGUAAGCCUGGAGGGCAACAGGCUUUAUUUGUACCCCCGCCAGGCUUAGCAAUGCUUAUUUAUUCAAGGAUUUUUAAAAUGUUUGCAUUUUUAGGGCUUUAUAGUUGGUAUUCAAAUAUUAAUCUUCCAAUAUUUCAAUAACGCAUAAUUAUCAAGUGAUAUUUUCAAGUUUCAACUUUAAACAUUUUUUAACUCAAAUGCACGACGGGCCACUGGACGAAUGACUGCCCUAGAACCCAACCACCGGGCUCAGCGAGUUUUCUGGGGGAAGCCUUGGAUAUGUUAGCUUUGUAAAUAUGACAGGAACUAAAUUGUGAUUAAAAUAAAUAUCUUCAAGACGGUUAUAUGUCCAGAAAAUAUGAGUCACUUCUAUCCAAAUCCUUCUCGGUUUCUUUUCUCUCAUUGAAAGUCGGAUAAGUGUUGAGGUUCAGUUAAUUCCUUAACGAGGAGCUAAUCAAUCAGAGGAGGACAUGUUUGAAAGGUCCUUCUGCUUGUAAAGGCUUCUGAUUAAGGGAAAUGACUCACAGCUAGUUAGGCGAGAAUCUGGCGCAAUUUUCUGGAAGUUAGAAAAAAUAGUUUCUGUGCGUGUUUGAAUGAAAUUAGAAAAUGACGUCAGAGCUUCUUUCAGCCAAAACAUUCAAAAUGAGGCUCAGGUAUUUUUAUACAACAGAAUAGAAAAAUCUGCUAAUUCUGGCAAAAAGAGCUCAGAAAAAUAUUUAAAAAGGAUAAACUUCCUUAACAGCUGGAGAUCUGUAAGAUAUGAUGUUAAAAUGCUGAAGCUUCUUUUGGAGGGAAACUGUAUAGCAUCCCAAAUAUUCAGAAUAUUACCAAAAAGUUUUUUUUUUUUUAUUCAUUUUAUAAAGUGAAACUCUUCAACACAUGGAGCACAAACAUUUACUUAUAUCAGGUUUGAUGAUUGUGGCUCACAGCGGAUGAAAACUCAAAACUCAGUUUCUUGAGAAUUUAAAAAAUGUAAUUUAUUCCAAUAAUUAAGUUUAUUUUCCUUGGGAGUCUGCCCCGAAUGUAUAAAUACAUUUUGUUGUACAAUACUCCUUCUUGGUUAUUUGUGUACUUCUUUUGAUCAUAUUUUUUCCUUCCACUCAACUUUAAAUUAAUAUGCUUGGAUACAUACAGAACUACGUGUGUUGGGAUGGUGCUUUUGGGGGUUUGUUUUUCUUUCAUCCACCAGAGGUCGCCCUGAGGUUGUUUUGCAGAGCGUGUUUUCCUCUGCCGUUGAUUACCUGCUCACCUGCGAGUUAUCAUCUUCAAGAGGAGGUUCAGCCAGCACUUCGACGCCACAGUGAACUUGCUCUGUGUCGUGUGGUUCUUCCACUUGAAGCCUCUGUGUUCCUGGAAGUUUCUUCCCUGUGAAAGUUUCCCUUGUGACGCCAGUGGAUGUUACCCGCCGGAUGCCCAGGAUUUACUCACCUUCUCGCUGCCUUCUACUCCUCUGGAUUUCCACGUUGGCUGACCUCCUUGCUCUGAACCUCAGUGAGCCGCAGAACUUACCUGUCCGCCAUCCAAUGCUAAUAACAUCCGCAGAACCUCAGUUGGACCUCAGUUGGAAGCCUCUAUCAGGAUCACCACCCAGGAACCCACCAAGCUCCCCUCCGUACCGUUUGCUGCAAAUCAAACCUGAACAACCCGAUUGCUGUUUUCCCCUGGAGACCAAGUCUGAACAUAAUUUAUUUAUUUUUUUCCCUUUUCACUGUAAAUAAAUUCUUAUCACUGA